rnacentral:misc_RNA from 1 species
CUCUCUCUCUCUCUCUCUCUAUAGCCUCCUGGACUGUUUUGCUAGUAUUACGUGUUACUGCACAAUUGAGAUGAAUUGCAAGCUCUUGUAUUUGCUUGUAAUCUGACUGGGGUUAUUGGGGAGUCAAGUGUCUGCAUAUUGGGUUUGGGUUAGUUCCAAUGAGAUUUUAAUAAAUCCAACAAAAGCCCUCCUCUCUGUCCUCUUGUGGAUUUUUUUCUUUUUUCAAAGAUAGAAGGAUAUCGUUCCAUGGCCUUAAGGAGGCAAUAUAUGUUGUACAAAAUGAUAUUGAAAAGCAAGAUUAUGUCGAAAGGAUGAAUUAUAAAGAAAUUAUUGAGCCAGACAAUGGGCUGCUGUGUUAGCAUCUCUUCUGACAAACACAAAGGAGCAAUUCUGAAAUUCUUUGGGGAGUUGAGAGAUAUCAAAGAUCACAGCUUGAAUGGAAAGAGGAUUUAAAGCACCCUUGAGAAUUAACUGUCUCCGAGUCGCCUUCGAUAAGCACUCUGGAAAUGUCCAUUUUCCGUGCAAGAAUGACUGCCUCUCGACAGGCAAGGCUCUCAAGGAUAAGAUAAGGGGAUCAACUUGAUUAUACCAUAGUUUACAAGACCAAUCAAGGAAGUUACUGCUGAAAUCACGAGCUAUAACAGCAGUUGCUCCAACCCUCCUGUGUAUGUCAAUGGCAGGAUCAAAAUUCAAUUUAAAAAACAUAGGAUUUAUCUCUUCACUUGAUCCCAUUAUUAUUAUUAUUAUUUUAACAGAACAUCAAAUUAUUCUUGAUCAAUGCUUGAAGUCCCCAUCUUAUAUAAAACAUAGUAUGGUGAGAGAAAUUAUUGGUACGCAAUUUAAAUGUGAGAGCCGCGUAAAUCAUGACCUUCUUUAGUUGGACGUGUUUGACUUAGUGGCUGUGAUGAGGUUAAA